rnacentral:rRNA from 1 species
UACGUAGGUGGCAAGCGUUGUCCGGAAUCACUGGGCGUAAAGGGUGCGUAGGCGGGUCUUUAAGUCAGGGGUGAAAUCCUGGAGCUCAACUCCAGAACUGCCUUUGAUACUGAAGAUCUUGAGUUCGGGAGAGGUGAGUGGAACUGCGAGUGUAGAGGUGAAAUUCGUAGAUAUUCGCAAGAACACCAGUGGCGAAGGCGGCUUACUGGUCCGGUUCUGACGCUGAGGCGCGAAAGCGUGGGGAGCAAACAGG